rnacentral:misc_RNA from 1 species
AUUUGUGGGAAUCUGAACCUCAUGGACUUCACCAUUACAAUGAAGUUGCUGGUGAGUUCCAACAAUUCCAAGUUCUCUUGCAAAGAUUCUUGGAGAAUGAAGCUUUCGAAGGCCCAAGAGUCGAGAAUUACGUCAAGCAUCGAUGCAUCGCUCGUAAUCUUCUUCAAGUUCCAGUCAUCAGAGAGGAUAAAAAGAAGGAUAGAAGGAAAGGAAGAAGAGAGAAAG